AGAGUUUGAUCCUGGCUCAGAAUGAACGCUGGCGGCGUGCUUAACACAUGCAAGUCGUACGAGAAAUCUUCAGCUUGCUGAAGAGAGUAAAGUGGCGCACGGGUGAGUAACGCGUGGGUAAUCUACCCUCGAAUUUGGGAUAACAUUGCGAAAGCGAUGCUAAUACCGGAUAAUAUCCAUUAGGCUUUGGUCUGUUGGAUCAAAGGUGGCCUCUACAUGUAAGCUACUGUUUGGGGAUGAGCCCGCGUACCAUUAGCUAGUUGGCAGGGUAAUGGCCUACCAAGGCAGCGAUGGUUAGCUGGUCUGAGAGGAUGAUCAGCCACACUGGAACUGACACACGGUCCAGACUCCUACGGGAGGCAGCAGUGAGGAAUUUUGCGCAAUGGGCGAAAGCCUGACGCAGCAACGCCGCGUGAGUGAUGAAGGCCCUCGGGUCGUAAAGCUCUGUCAAGUGGGAAGAACCUGAUUGGUAAUAAUACUGCCAUUCACUGACGGUACCACUGAAGGAAGCACCGGCUAACUCCGUGCCAGCAGCCGCGGUAAU
rnacentral:rRNA from 1 species